CAGCUUAUGACUAUCACAGUCUGGCCCCGAUCUCCUUUUCUUCAACUUCUUUAUCCUACCAAAAGAUGGAUUGUCCGCCAGCAGAUUCUAAAGGUUAUGAUCCUUUGAAUUCUUAAUUAUUUAUUCCACUAACAACCUACUCUUACCAACUAAAUUUCCUAAUCAUAAGUCUAAUCCUCAAGGGUAUCAAUAAUCAACCAGUAACUUACCACAAAGUUUAUUUGGCUAUUCUACAUAGCUCCACUUCUAUUUGUGCAGUGUCCUCACAAACAUUAAUUAGCCUCAACUUAUAAAGACAUAGCAGCGUUGGCUUCUUCAGUCAAUGGCAUUGACUUACCACCCUUUGAAUUGGUGACCUUCUCAUCUUUACAUCUUCGUCAUCUGCCUCAGUAUUCGAGGAUUCUCC
rnacentral:lncRNA from 1 species